UACGGAGGGAGCUAGCGUUGUUCGGAAUUACUGGGCGUAAAGCGCACGUAGGCGGCGAUUCAAGUCAGAGGUGAAAGCCCGGGGCUCAACCCCGGAACGGCCUUUGAAACUAGAUUGCUAGAAUCUUGGAGAGGUCAGUGGAAUUCCGAGUGUAGAGGUGAAAUUCGUAGAUAUUCGGAAGAACACCAGUGGCGAAGGCGACUGACUGGACAAGUAUUGACGCUGAGGUGCGAAAGCGUGGGGAGCAAACAGG
rnacentral:rRNA from 2 species